GCGGAGGAAAAGAAACCAACAGGGAUUGCCUCAGUAACGGCGAGUGAAGCGGCAACAGCUCAAAUUUGAAAUCUGGCCUCACGGUCCGAGUUGUAAUUUGUAGAGGAUGUUUCGAGCAUGGUCCGGCCUAAGUGUCUUGGAACAGGACGUCAUAGAGGGUGAGAACCCCGUAUGCGGUCGGGUGCCUACGCUCAUGUGAAACUCCUUCGACGAGUCGAGUUGUUUGGGAAUGCAGCUCAAAAUGGGUGGUAAAUUUCAUCUAAAGCUAAAUAUUGGCCAGAGACCGAUAGCGCACAAGUAGAGUGAUCGAAAGAUGAAAAGCACUUUGGAAAGAGAGUUAAACAGUACGUGAAAUUGUUGAAAGGGAAGCGCUUGCAACCAGACUUGGGCGCGGCCGAUCAUCCGGUGUUCUCACCGGUGCACUCGGUCGCGUGCAGGCCAGCAUCGGUUCUGGUGGCUGGAUAAAGGCCCUAGGAAUGUGGCUCCUCUCGGGGAGUGUUAUAGCCUAGGGUGCAAUGCAGCCUACCGGGACCGAGGACCGCGCUUCGGCUAGGAUGCUGGCGUAAUGGUUGUAAGUGACCCGUCUUGAAACACGGACCAAGGAGUCUAACAUCUAUGCGAGUGUUUGGGUGUCAAACCCAUACGCGUAAUGAAAGUGAACGGAGGUGAGAACCCUUAAGGGUGCAUCAUCGACCGAUCCUGAUGUCUUCGGAUGGAUUUGAGUAUGAGCAUAGCUGUUGGGACCCGAAAGAUGGUGAACUAUGCCUGACUAGGGUGAAGCCAGAGGAAACUCUGGUGGAGGCUCGCAG
rnacentral:misc_RNA from 1 species